AUGCCGCCCGUGCGCCGCCGCCGCCGCACCACCCCAGCCGCCGCCGCCGCCGACGGGUCAGCCCCCUCCUCUUCCGCCGACCUCCUCGCCCUGGCCGCCACCCUCCUCCCCACUCCCACCGCCGCCGCAGCUCUCAAGACCCCUCCCCACCUCAAGCACACCGUCCACUCCCUCCCCGACUCCCACCCGGUCCUCCUCUCCCUCCCGCAAACCCUAGCCCAAGCCCUCUCCCCCGACCCGGACCCCGGCGCCGUCUCCCCCCGCGCCGCCGCCGCCGUCCUCCUCCACCUCCUCCUCACCCACCCCUCCCACCCGCCGCGAUGGGACGACCUCCUCCGCCCGCUCGCGCUGCUCCACGACCGCCUGGCGCUCCUCGCCACCGAGGACCCGCCCGUCGCCGCGCUCGCCGCCUCCUGCUUCGAGCUCGCCUGGCGCGCCGGGGCCCCGGGGCGCGACGCGCUCGUCGCCCAGACCCUGCCGUACCUCUUCUCCCAGGCGCUCACCUCCGGCUCCAACGCCAGGCCGCUCCUCCGCCGCCUCUUCGCCCUCCGCGAGGCGCUGCACCUGCUCGACUACACCGACGAGAGCAUCUCGGACUUCAAGGUGCUCCUGCUGCGCUGCUUCGUGUCCCCCCACUUCCUCAAGGCCGAGGAAGGGAGGAAGCUCCUCGCGCUGGUGCUCGGGGUCAGCGAGGGGCUCGCCAGGGAGGGGCUGGAGUUCAUAAGGGCCCAGGUGGGGAUGAUGCGAGGGAGGCGGGCGGCCGUGGUCGCCUACGGCGAGGUGGUGUUCAGAGCGUGGAAGGACGGAGGGUGGGUCAGAGGGGAGAUUGGGGAAGGGUUUCUGCAGGGGAUGGUCGAGGCAGCUGUCCAUGCCGCUGACAAGGAGGUGGCCAAGGCUGCCAGGAGGAUACUUUGGGCGUUCGUCGAGCAGAAGGCAGUGGCUGGAGUUGAGAAGUUGGUCUUCAGGCUGUCCGAGCCUGUGCUGUUCCGGUCAUUGCAGGUUGCAAACUCUAAUGUUCGCCGUAAUGCUUUACAUCUUCUACUGGAUUUAUUUCCCCUUGAAGACCCAGAUGUGACAAAGGAUGUCAAUGAUCCUCUGUUAGAGAAGCAGUUCUUCCUUCUAGACAAACUUCUCAUGGAUGACUGCCCAGAAAUACGGGCAGUCACAGUUGAAGGAAUUUGCCGUAUUCUUAACCAGUUUUGGGAAGUUAUUCCAUCGCCAACCAUUUCAAAAAAAUUGAGUAAAAUUGUUGAUGACAUGUCCAAAGAUUCUUGCAACGAAGUUCGUCUAUCAACACUGAAUGGUCUGAUAUACUUGCUUGACAAUCCACAAAGUCAUGACAUACUGAAAGUGCUACUUCCAAGAUUAAGCGAUAUGGUUUCUGAUCCUGCUUUAUCUGUCAGAGCUGCUGCUGUAGAUCUCCUGUUAGCUGUUCGUGAUCUUCGAUCUUUCCAGUACAAUAAGGUUGUUGGUUUGGGUACUCUAUUAUCUUCACUUGCGGAUGAUCAUCCCCGUGUUGCUAAAAAAAUCACAGAGCUUCUCAUCCCUUCUUACUUUCCAUCUAAGUUGCCUUUGAAAGAAGCAUGUGCUCGCUGCAUUGCACUCAUAAAGAGAUCACCGGCAGCUGGGGCAAGGUUCUGUGAAUUUGCUCUGUCUGAAGGAUCAUCCCCGCGGUCUCUUGUUGAGUUUAUCAAAGUCUCUAUUACUCUGGCAUUGUCACCAUCAGGAUUGAACUCAGCGCAGACUGAUGGUCUUGUUAUUGCUUCCGCCAAACUAAUAAAAAGCUUAUCUGAUGAAGGCUCUAGUUUGGUUGCUUUGAGAGAGUACUUUACAAAUGCUAAACUGAAGCUGCUCUUUAAAACUGCAGUUUCUGGUGGUGCCCAGGCUGCUCUUCUCAGCAUGGUGCCAGCGAUAUCACCUGAUCUAUGUGUGUUACAUAUCGAAUGCAUGAACAUAAUUGUGAAUGCUGCUGUGACUUCCAAGCAGGAAGAAUGUCAAGAAGCAUUGCUGGCAGCACAUAAGCUAGUACAUUUGAGUGGCCGUUCUGAUGAAAUGUUUGAAGAAUUGACUAAUAUUUUGCAAUCUAAAGCCUCUUAUUUUUCUGGGAUGCAUGGACUUGAACCUCCAUCGUGCCCUGUGGCAUCUACAAAGAGGAAGAAAGGGAAGUCGCUUAAGAAAACACCAGCAAGAUAUGACGAUGUGGAUGGAAAUAGGUCAUCCACAUCAGUAAUCCUGAGUAAUGAAGAACUUACUGCUGUAGGGGGAGCAGCAUGGCAGCUCAAUGAAAUACUAAAAGCAGAGGAAAUGAGAGCUGCUUUUCUGCAUUCUUAUGCAGAAAUUGCAUUUUCUUCUCUGAAGGUCAUUUCUCAAGUGUACAUUGAGCAAUGCCUACAUUUUGAAUCUCUAGACCUCUCUCCAGUGUUUGCUUAUUUGAGUUUGGCUACAUAUAGUGCUCUUCAGGAUGUUGAUCAAACAGACAUGAGCUGCUCUGAGUCGACAGUUGUCAACCAGUCACUGGACCAUCUGCUGAGAUGCUAUGACAGAUUUGUAAAUGGAUCUGUUACUGUUUCCACUGACUCAACGUCAACAUUGAACAAGAAUAAGAAAUCUGCAGAACAUGAACAUCAGCAGCAUGUCACCCCUGAAGCAUUUUGUACAGGAAGUCCAGCAGAAGGCACAAUAAAUGUGAUUAUGCUUGGCACUUCAAUUCUUAAGUUCAUUGUCGAUACGACAACCAUCAAGCUGGUCAAUGAGAGUAAAGUAAGAUGUGUGGGAUUUGCAUCAUCUUACACAAAAUAUGCAGUAUCAGCCAUGAAAAGGCACAGUGAGGGCUCAUCUUUCAAUGGGGACGAUCUGAAAGACAUACUGAUCCUUACACGAAGCUCCUUCACUUACGCAGCCAAGCUGCUUCAUUUGGUGCUAGCAAGCUCAACCGAGUCGUCGAGUCCCCCAGAGGAGGCCUUCCUCCUUGCCAAUAAUCUUCUUGAUCUUGUACCUGCUGUCGAAUCAUUUGCAGGCCCGAGAUUUGCUCUCACAUUAGUUUCAGUCGUAAAACAGUGGCUGCCAGUCCUGAUAUUGGGCCUUGGAUGCCGCUGGUUGAUCGGGCCAGAAAGUGAGAUGGCUAACAAGACGUGCAACUUGGGUGACUCCGACUUACCACUGUGGGUUGCUGCUCUGGCCAAAAACGAGCUGUUUGAGGCUGAGGAACCCAGGGAGGAUGAUCAGAGCGAGCAGGGGAACGAGCACGAGGAGUCGCCGUCGUCCAGAAAGCUAGCAGAAACGAUGGUGACCCUGCUGAGGAAAGGAAGCCCUAAAAUCCUGGAUUCUGUGGGUGGCAUUUUGCUUUCCAACCUCCAGUUGGCGCUGCAGAGAGCGGAGCAUGGCAUCGUCUUAGGCUUGGCACGCUUUGUUUGUGACAAGCUGCUUGGGAGCAGCAGCAGCAGCUCGUCAGCCUCUCAGAACCUGCAGCUCACUCGUGAUUCUCUGCGCGAGAGCUUCUUUGAGAUCGACAGGCAUUGCAAGGAGGAUGGCAGAGUUGACGAUGAAUGUUCAAGGCAGCAGCUGGAGAGUGCAAAAGUAUUGAUAUCCUCAGUCCUCCCCUAUGAUGCAUGCAGUCAGACGAGCUGA
rnacentral:rRNA from 1 species